CGCGGCCCUGAUCGAAGCCGUUCCGUUUCUCUGUAACGGCAGCGGGUCAAACAGGAGCCUAAAGAAACACUUUACCGACGGUCGCUGUACAGUUCCUUUUUUUUCUGUCCCAGCAACAUUUAAGGGUAAAGGACAACC